GAUGAAGAACGUAGCGAAAUGCGAUAAGUAAUGUGAAUUGCAGAAUUCAGUGAAUCAUCGAAUCUUUGAACGCUCAUUGCGCCCGCCAGUAUUCUGGCGGGCAUGCCUGUCCGAGCGUCAUUUCAACCCUCGCGCCCAUCUGGGCUGCGGUGUUGGGGACCGGCCUGCCCCCCCGGGGCGCGCCGCCCCCCAAAUUCAGUGGCGGUCUCGCUGCAGCCUCCCUUGCGUAGUAGCACACCUCGCACCGGAGCGCAGCGCGGCCACGCCGUAAAACCCCCGACCCCCAUGAGUUUGACCUCGGAUCAGGUAGGAAUACCCGCUGAACUUAAGCAUAUCAAUAAGCGGAGGA
rnacentral:misc_RNA from 1 species